UACGGAGGGUGCAAGCGUUAUCCGGAUUCACUGGGUUUAAAGGGUGCGUAGGUGGGUUGGUAAGUCAGUGGUGAAAUCUCCGUGCUUAACAUGGAAACUGCCGUUGAUACUAUAUAUCUUGAAUGCUGUGGAGGUAAGCAGAAUAUGUCAUGUAGCGGUGAAAUGCUUAGAGAUGACAUAGAAUACCUAUUGCGAAGGCAGCUUACUACGCAGAUAUUGACGCUCAUGCACGAAAGCGUGGGGAUCAAACAGG
rnacentral:rRNA from 1 species